GCGCUGCAUUAGCUAGUUGGUAAGGUAACGGCUUACCAAGGCAACGAUGCAUAGCCGACCUGAGAGGGUGAUCGGCCACACUGGAACUGAGACACGGUCCAGACUCCUACGGGAGGCAGCAGUAGGGAAUCUUCCGCAAUGGGCGAAAGCCUGACGGAGCAACGCCGCGUGAGUGAUGAAGGUCUUCGGAUCGUAAAACUCUGUUAUUAGGGAAGAACAUAUGUGUAAGUAACUGUGCACAUCUUGACGGUACCUAAUCAGAAAGCCACGGCUAACUACGUGCCAGCAGCCGCGGUAAUACGUAGGUGGCAAGCGUUAUCCGGAAUUAUUGGGCGUAAAGCGCGCGUAGGCGGUUUUUUAAGUCUGAUGUGAAAGCCCACGGCUCAACCGUGGAGGGUCAUUGGAAACUGGAAAACUUGAGUGCAGAAGAGGAAAGUGGAAUUCCAUGUGUAGCGGUGAAAUGCGCAGAGAUAUGGAGGAACACCAGUGGCGAAGGCGACUUUCUGGUCUGUAACUGACGCUGAUGUGCGAAAGCGUGGGGAUCAAACAGGAUUAGAUACCCUGGUAGUCCACGCCGUAA
rnacentral:rRNA from 1 species